rnacentral:rRNA from 1 species
GACGAACGCUGGCGGCGUGCCUAAUACAUGCAAGUCGAACGAGUGGCGGACGGGUGAGUAAUGUCUGGGAAACUGCCCGAUGGAGGGGGAUAACUACUGGAAACGGUAGCUAAUAACGCAUACCAUCGGAUGUGCCCAGAUGGGAUUCGCUAGUAGGUGGGGUAACGGCGCACUUAGGCGACGAUCCCUAGCUGGUCUGAGAGGAUGACCAGCCACACUGGAACUGAGACACGGUCCAGACUCCUACGGUAGGCAGCGUGGGGGAAUAUUGCACAAUGGGCGCAAGCCUGAUGCAGCCAUGCCGCGUGUAUGAAGAAGGGCUGAGGGUUGUAAAGUACUUUACGCGAGGAGGUGUUACUCGCAGAAGAAGCACCGGCUAACUCCGUGCCAGCAGCCGCGGUAAUAC